rnacentral:ncRNA from 10 species
CAUCAACAUCAAGAGAAAGAUUGGGUUCUUCUCCAACCUGCUAACUCAGGCAAGGUGGAAUAAAAGAUGUGGUUAACCAACAAUUAAAUGAGGUAAU